UUUUUGGAAUCUUCACUCUCUCUCUCUCUUGUCCUUUUUCACGGGUCUUUCUAUCACUUCAAUCUUUCUUCCUCUGCCACUAUGUUCUUCUUUAUCUUUUUCUAUCUCACCACCAUCCUCUUAUCUCUCAUUCAUUUCUCUUCCCCCUUCUUUCUAUUCCUUCUCUUUCUCUUUCUCCCCAUUCUCUUUCUCUUUAUCUAAGUUAAAACAUAUUAUCUUUCUUCUUCUUCUUCUUUUGGUAUCAUGCAGUCUGUAGUCUUCCUUCUUUUAGGUGUGUUUCAACGGUGAAGAAGAAUAAUAUGAAUGGCGACUAUGGGUUACCAGUGAUGAGAGUGGUGGUGGUGGAAACGAGCCUGCGACGACGAGUGUGGUGGUGGUGGUUGAAAUGGGUUAGCAGCAAUGAGUUUGUAGGUGGUGGAAACGGAAUUUCGUGACGAGUGUGGUGGUGGUCCGAUUUGAAAUGAUUUAUGUUGGACAUUUUCUAUUUAUGUUUUGUUACAGAUUUCUGACGACGAACCAAAUUCUUUUUACUACUUCUGUAAUAUUAGUUAUGCUUAUUGAGAUUUCCUAUUUUCACUUUCAGUAUCACAUUACAUGUUCACCAGGUACUCUAGAAGAUAAAUAUGAAAAGCUUUAUGGUGAAGAGAAAUGGACGGGGAAACCUCACGAGGUGCUAAAUCGGAAGGUUACAUUAGCUGGAAUGAAUCUGUUGCGUGUCAAUUUUUGUCAUAACGUUUGAAUUAUUAUACAUGGUUUAUACUUCGAAUGGGUCGAAAUCUAAUGUGGAGUUGCAAGAUGAUAUUGCCGGCAAAACUUUGACUUCAAGGCCGCCAAUACAUACAAUGAUCACAACACUAGAACAAUCUGGCAAGGAGAAUAAUUUCUCCAUCCAUAUAUAUUGAGCUCCAUCCAGCGUCAAGGUACUAGGAGUUUGUUUCCAACAAGUCAGCUUUUGCCAAGUAUAUAUGGAUACAAAUUUGGUUCAGAAGCUAAGCUUGCAGUGUUAAAGAACGUAUCUGGUGACUUCAAGAAGAUGGAAAAAAGAAUCUUUGUGUUUAUUAUUGGUGGGGCUACUCGAUCUGAGGUAAAUAAGAUAAAGAACUGCUGCAACAAUAUCUGGGAUUUCGCAACUGUAAUCCCAUCUUAAGAUUAUUUUGUUAUUUCCAGCUACGUGUUUGUCACAAACUGACAACAAAACUAAUAAGAGAAGUAAUCCUAGGCACUACUUCUAUGGAUGAUCCUGCACAAUAUCUUACGAUAAUAACUCCUUCAUGAUUUUUCGCAAGAAACUUAUAUAAAGCACAAUUGUUUCUCCUGAUGUGGUUUAAUGUGCAUAAAUUGAAGUUAUUAUGUGAGAGUAAAGUUACGCCUACGCUGGACGGCCUAGGAAUAUGAAGUGUUUCUUAAUACUGCUAAUUGCCAAAAAGUUGCCUAUACCUUCUGUAUCAAUUAUUACUCACCACCCUUAAUUCUUUAGACAUAGAAAGUUUAUGUUCACUUGUUAAGGGAUGAACACAGGGCCCUUUAAAUUUUGGUUACUCAAAUUUUGUCAUGUACGAUGGACAUUUGGUAUAACUGUUAGAUGAUAUAUUUUUCAUGUCAAACUCAGCUGAAAGAAAAUAAAUUAUAGCUUUUAUUUUUACUUCUUCCUUAUUCUCCCUUUUACAAUGAAUGACAUGCAAGUCUCUGAACCAAAUAAUAAAAUGUAAAUAUCAAGGAAGUAGUAACUAAGAAA